GAUUUCUGGCCUGAAACAUUUAGCCGGCCACGGUUUCGUGUGUUAGUGUUAGAUGUUCUGGCCAUCCUUCCAAUUGCUAUUCAUCUUUCUUCAUUGAUGGGUGAGUGGUAUUGGAUCUUUUACUUUGAAAAAAUUAGAGUGUUUAAAGCAGGCGUUUGCUAUGAAUACAUUAGCAUGGAAUAAUAAGUUAGGACUUCGGUUCUAUUUUGUUGGUUUCUAGGACUGAAGUAAUGAUUGAUAGGGAUAGUUGGGGGUGCUAGUAUUCAGCGGCCAGAGGUGAAAUUCUUGGAUUCGGUCAAGACUAACUUAUGCGAAAGCAUU
rnacentral:rRNA from 1 species